rnacentral:tRNA from 1 species
UUUACAAUAGCUUAUUUAAAGUGUAGUAUUGAAGCUACUAAGAAAAAAUUCUUUUUGUAAAA